rnacentral:rRNA from 1 species
GACGAACGCUGGCGGCGUGCCUAAUACAUGCAAGUAGAACGCACAGUUUAUACCUUAGCUUGCUCCACCAUAGACUGUGAGUUGCGAACGGGUGAGUAACGCGUAGGUAACCUGCCUGGUAGCGGGGUAUCACUAUUGGCAACGAUAGCUAAUACCGCAUAAUAUUGAUUAUUGCAUGAUAAUUGAUUGUAAGAUGCUAUUGCAUCACUCCCAGAUGGACCUGCGUUGUAUUAGCUAGUAGGUGAGGUAACGGCGCACCUAGGCGACGAGACAUAGCCGACCACCAAGGGUGAUCGCACACACUGGGACUGAGACACGGCCCAGAACCCUACGGGAGGGAGCAGGAGCGAAUCUUCGGCAAUGGACGAAAGUGUGACCGAGGAACGCCGCGUGAGUGAAGAAGGUUUCCGGAUCGUGAAGAUGUGUUGUAAGAGAAGAACGGGUGUGAGUGUGGAAAGUUCACACAGUGACGGUAUCUGAACAGAAAGGGACGGCUAACUACGUG